GGCAAACACUGAGACACAGAGUACAGCCUGUACAAGUGUCGGUUAUGGUGGGCAGGUGGGUUUCUGGAUCAAACUGUAUAGCCUGGUAGCCAGAAUCAUUACAGGUCAUGUAGCAUUUACCACAGUUGAUACACAUUUCUUCAUCAAUCAUAGCCACAACUUGCUCUACGUUGCUCAAUUCACCAAAUGUUCCAAGGUACUGCAGUGCUUUUCCU
rnacentral:lncRNA from 1 species